rnacentral:rRNA from 1 species
AGUGAACGCUGGCGGUAGGCCUAACACAUGCAAGUCGAACGGCAGCACAGUAAGAGCUUGCUCUUACGGGUGGCGAGUGGCGGACGGGUGAGGAAUACAUCGGAAUCUACUUUUUCGUGGGGGGUAACGUAGGGAAACUUACGCUAAUACCGCAUACGACCUACGGGUGAAAGCAGGGGAUCUUCGGACCUUGCGCGAUUGAAUGAGACGAUGUCGGAUUAGCUAGUUGGCGGGGUAAAGGCCCACCAAGGCGACGAUCCGUAGCUGGUCUGAGAGGAUGAUCAGCCACACUGGAACUGAGACACGGUCCAGACUCCUACGGGAGGCAGCAGUGGGGAAUAUUGGACAAUGGGCGCAAGCCUGAUCCAGCCAUACCGCGUGGGUGAAGAAGGCCUUCGGGUUGUAAAGCCCUUUUGUUGGGAAAGAAAAGCAGCAGGUUAAUACCCCGCUGUUCUGACGGUACCCAAAGAAUAAGCACCGGCUAACUUCGUG